GAUGAACGCUGGCGGCGUGCCUAAUACAUGCAAGUCGAGCGAACAGACGAGGAGCUUGCUCCUCUGACGUUAGCGGCGGACGGGUGAGUAACACGUGGAUAACCUACCUAUAAGACUGGGAUAACUUCGGGAAACCGGAGCUAAUACCGGAUAAUAUAUUGAACCGCAUGGUUCAAUAGUGAAAGACGGUUUUGCUGUCACUUAUAGAUGGAUCCGCGCCGCAUUAGCUAGUUGGUAAGGUAACGGCUUACCAAGGCAACGAUGCGUAGCCGACCUGAGAGGGUGAUCGGCCACACUGGAACUGAGACACGGUCCAGACUCCUAAGGGAGGCAGCAGUAGGGAAUCUUCCGCAAUGGGCGAAAGCCUGACGGAGCAACACCGCGUGAGUGAUGAAGGUCUUCGGAUCGUAAAACUCUGUUAUUAGGGAAGAACAAAUGUGUAAGUAACUAUGCACGUCUUGACGGUACCUAAUCAGAAAGCCACGGCUAACUACGUG
rnacentral:rRNA from 1 species